UACGUAGGGGGCAAGCGUUGUCCGGAAUCAUUGGGCGUAAAGAGCGUGUAGGCGGCCAGAUAAGUCCGCUGUGAAAUCUCGAGGCUCAACUUCGAGCUGUCGGUGGAAACUGUCUGGCUAGAGUCCGGAAGAGGAGAAUGGAAUUCCUGGUGUAGCUGUGAAAUGCGCAGAUAUCAGGAAGAACACCAAUGGCGAAGGCAGCUCGCUGGGACGGUACUGACGCUGAGACGCGAAAGCGUGGGGAGCAAACAGG
rnacentral:rRNA from 1 species